GACGAACGCUGGCGGCGUGCUUAACACAUGCAAGUCGAACGAUGGAGCUGGAGCUUGCUCUGGCGGAUUAGUGGCGAACGGGUGAGUAACACGUGAGAAAUCUGCCCUUGACUCUGGGAUAACUGCGGGAAACUGUAGCUAAUACCGGAUACUUUCCCUGGUGGGCAUCCACUGGGGAAGAAAGAAUUUCGGUCAAGGAUGAUCUCGCGGCCUAUCAGCUUGUUGGUGAGGUAAUGGCUAACCAAGGCGACGACGGGUAGCCGGCCUGAGAGGGUGACCGGCCACACUGGGACUGAGACACGGCCCAGACUCCUACGGGAGGCAGCAGUGGGGAAUAUUGCACAAUGGGCGCAAGCCUGAUGCAGCAACGCCGCGUGAAGGAUGAAGGCCUUCGGGUUGUAAACCUCUUUUAGCAGGGAAGAAGCGAAAGUGACGGUACCUGCAGAAAAAGCACCGGCUAACUACGUGCCAGCAGCCGCCGUAA
rnacentral:rRNA from 1 species